rnacentral:lncRNA from 1 species
AGCUCUGUAUUUUUGGAUUUGGACUAUGUAUAUGAAACUCAGUUUGUUUAGCUUCUGUUUUCUCUAGCAGCUCUCUACUACUGUUCGUAGUAGUGUUUGAUUUACAGGUACAGCCGUCGCUUCGUAUAUAGGGAAAAUUCCUUUGUAUACGGCGGAUUUGUCGGCGUGCCCUGGGAACGAGACAUCCGAGGCGUGACAUAGUACUAGUUAAGGAGCCCUGCACGAUGCGGCGGGAAGAUAAUACAACCGUAAAUUAUUAUAAUUAUUAAUAUUUUUUCUAUUAUGUAUUAAUAUUUUUAAAUAUUAUUUAUCUCAGUAUUAAAUAAUAAAAAAUUAAAGAAUAAAUUAAAGUAGAUUUCUUUCUAAAAAUAUUUAAAUCUUAUAUAAAUUAAUCCUUAAAAAAAUUGUGUGGACCCCACAACCCUCCAAAAUAAGGAAAAGUAUUCUUUAGUGUUGCCAAUUCAUAUAUGUUUUGGGAACUAAAGUAAAAAAUAUGCAAAAUUUAGGGAUCAAGAUUGGCAUGCAAAAAAAAGUUAAAUAGACGAUGACACUAUAAUUUCGUUAAUUCUAAAAUAUUUUUUAACGGUUACUAUUUUAUCGCGAUGAAAUUAAUUUGAAAAAAUUUAGGAAUAAAAAAAAAAUAGUGGAAAGUUUGGAAAAUUAAUCCUAAAAAAAUUGUGGGCCACACAACCCUCUAAAAUAAAGGGAGAUCUUUUUUGGAUUCUCAAUUAGAUGAAAUUUUAAUUUUAUUAUUUUGACUAUUAAAAAAUAAAUUUCUCUAUGCGAUAAAAUUUUAUACUUGAUGUAGAAUUUUUUUUUGAUAUUUAUUAAAUAAAAUUUUAAUUUUAUUAUAUUAACUAUUUAAAAAUAGAAUUGAUUUAUACGAUAAAAUUUUAUAUUUGUUGUGGGAAAAAAUUAUAAAAUAGAAAGUUGUUGAGUAAAAAAAGAAAGAAAGAAAGUGAGAGAGAGAGAGAGAGAGAGAGAGAGAGAGAGAGAGAGAGAAAAAGAGAUAGUGUGUGUGAGAGAGGAAAAAGAAAAAAAGUGGGG